rnacentral:lncRNA from 15 species
AUGCUCUCCUGUGUCUCCACCUGCUGUCAGAAGAUGCAACAGCAGGUUGUCCCAAAGUCCCCAUUACACACUAACUGUACUCAGUAUGUCUUUAUAAAGUCUAUUUUUAUAUAUACGUGUGUCUUUCUAGUAGUUUGGUACAAAUCUUCAUACUUUACAGUUUUAUACACAAACUGCAACUUUACAAUUGAACUUCACAAAGUGACAGAAAAACAUAAUUUAUAAGAUUAAAUACUUAUUUUUUUGUCUUCCAAUAUCUCCCUGGUGCUUUCUUUUACAAUUUAAUUACUUUUUUUGUUACAGCUUUGAGUUAAAAAUCAUAAAGUUUAUUUAAUUCUGUCACAUUUUUGCUGUAGAUCAGUGUGUAGUGCAGCAGUGGGACACAGUGACGUUUAUAAACUGAUCAAAUACAAACAUCAAUUAAACAUUAAUCCAACUUCAACGGCAUUCAAACACAUUUUUAGAUUUAAUUCAGUGCAGUUAUUUUUACUGGCUCCUGCUCUUUGAUGUUUUUCAGAGAACGAACAAAUGAAUGAAAGAUUUUUUUACACUUUUCAUCAUCAAACCAAAUGUUGUUUCUUUCUUUUAUUGGACGUCAGCAGAAGGAUGAAGUUGUGUUUCUCUGACUCUGUGCCUUGUCUGAUGCAAUAUUCUUUAGAUUAUAUUUGAAUGUUUGAAGAGGAUUCAGCUCUGAUGGGGGGGGGGGGGGGGGGUCCCGCUUUAGUAAUUUUAUUUUCUACAUUAAAUGAAAAUGAUCUAAUCUUCGUCUUUGUCGUUUGUUUCUUAUCUUCAUUUCUUACAGAUGCGGAAAACUGAAACACAAUACGUUUUUAAACUGAGAUCUUGAGUUAAUUAUCUUAAUUAGUUAUCUUAUCUUCACUCUGUAUGUACGGAGGCUGGAGAGUGUCUGAAUUAUUACGUUUCUGUAAGUUUGUAUGGAAGCUCAUUUCUGCCAAUAUAAUUAUAAAAAUAUUAAAAUUAUAAGAAACUUUAUUAAAAUAAUGACUUUGUGAUACUAAAUCAAUAUUUUGAGAAUGUUUCUCAUAACUUUUAAUAAGUUAAACUUACAUUUUUUUAGACCUGUGAAAAUCAUAUUUAAUAAUAAAACUUUUUAAAUCAAUUAUUAAUACAUUUUUAAAAACUUGAAUCCUAAACAAAGAUGUCUGUAAAGUAUCGCCAUCACUAGCUGUGAUCAACUGCCCAGUGUUUGGUUUGUGUCCAUCAGAAGAGGACCCGUCUCAUUCUAAAGUAACAAAAACACAACAAGUCUUAUUUCCAGGUGAUUAAACACUAAAAGGAAACAAACCUAUGAAUAUUAUAUUUCAUUAAACUUUGUGUCUGAAAGAAACAGAAACAAGCAGAGAAGAUAACUAUUUUAAUUUCUUGUGUACACUAAAAGUAAAAUUUACACACUUAUAGUCUCAAAAGAACCUGGGCAUGCACAAUAACCUUUUGACAGGCUCUUCAAGUGAUUCAGUUUUUUUCCAUAGGAAUUUUCCCGUACAUUUUACAGUCCAUAGUUUAACUGUACACAGUCUAAAGCCACAGUGAACUAUGAUUACAUCCAUUUCAUCUUUACAAUGUGCAAAAUCCUCCUGGGAGACGGGGCUGACAGUAGUAUGAGCAAAAAACAACAAACAAACAAAUAAGAGCUGCAAAAAAAAAAAAAAAAAAAGCACUUCAUAUUAGGAUCAGUGUUCAUAACCCGACACGUGGAAGCAGAAAUUGGUCCCUUAAUUCCCUUCUGAUGUGAGUCGACCUUCACUGCCGAGAAACUUUUAAGUGGUUUUAACCCCCAAAAAAAGUCCCAUUUGUACCCCCAAAGAAAAAC